UACGGAGGGUGCAAGCGUUAUCCGGAUUCACUGGGUUUAAAGGGUGCGUAGGCGGCUAUAUAAGUCAGUGGUGAAAGCCCGCAGCUCAACUGCGGAACUGCCAUUGAAACUGCAUAGCUUGAAUCUGGUUGAAGUGGGCGGAAUACAUCAUGUAGCGGUGAAAUGCUUAGAUAUGAUGUAGAACACCGAUUGCGAAGGCAGCUCACUAAGCCAACAUUGACGCUGAGGCACGAAAGCGUGGGUAGCGAACAGG
rnacentral:rRNA from 1 species